rnacentral:rRNA from 1 species
GUGAGGAAUAUUGCGCAAUGGAGGCAACUCUGACGCAGCCAUGCCGCGUGUGUGAAGAAGGUCUUCGGAUUGUAAAGCACUUUAAGUUGGGAGGAAGGGCAGUAAGUUAAUACCUUGCUGUUUUGACGUUACCGACAGAAUAAGCACCGGCUAACUUCGUGCCAGCAGCCGCGGUAAUACGAAGGGUGCAAGCGUUAAUCGGAAUUACUGGGCGUAAAGCGCGCGUAGGUGGUUUUGUAAGUUGGAGGUGAAAUCCCCGGGCUCAACCUGGGAACUGCCUCCAAAACUGCAUGACUAGAGUACGGUAGAGGGUAGUGGAAUUUCCUGUGUAGCGGUGAAAUGCGUAGAUAUAGGAAGGAACACCAGUGGCGAAGGCGACUACCUGGACUGAUACUGACACUGAGGUGCGAAAGCGUGGGGAGCAAACAGGAUUAGAAACCCGUGUAGUCC